UCUAAUGUGGCAGACUAGUGCAAUGGAUUUAAGCUCCAGAUAUAAAGUAUUUUACUUUUAUUAGAA
rnacentral:tRNA from 1 species